AUUGAACGCUGGCGGCAGGCCUAACACAUGCCAGUCGAACGGUAACAGGAAGACGCUUGCUUCUUUGCUGACGAGUGGCGGACGGGUGAGCAAUGUCUGGGAAACUGCCUGAUGGAGGGGCAUAACUACUGGAAACGGUAGCUAAUACCGCAUAACGUCGCAAGACCAAACAGGGGGACCUUCGGGCCUCUUGCCAUCGGCUGUGGCCAGAUGGGAUUAGCUAGUAGGUGGGGUAACGGCUCACCUAGGCGCCGCUCCCUAGCUGGUCUGAGAGGAUGAACAGCCACACUGGAAGUGAGACACGGUCCUGACUCCGACGGGAGGCAGCAGUGGGGAAUAUUGCACAAUGGGGGAAAGCCUGAUGCAGCCAUGCCGCGUGUAUGAAGAAGGACUUCGGGUUGUAAAGUACUUUCAGCGGGGAGGAAGGGAGUAAAGUUAAUACCUGUGCUCAUUGACGGUACCAGCAGAAGAAGCACCGGCUAACUCCGUG
rnacentral:rRNA from 1 species